rnacentral:rRNA from 1 species
UACGAAGGGGGCGAGCGUUGUUCGGAAUUACUGGGCGUAAAGGGCGCGUAGGCGGCGACUCAAGUCAGAUGUGAAAGUCCUGGGCUUAACCUGGGGACUGCAUUUGAUACUGGGUUGCUUGAAUUCGGGAGAGGAUAGCGGAAUUCCCAGUGUAGAGGUGAAAUUCGUAGAUAUUGGGAAGAACACCGGUGGCGAAGGCGGCUAUCUGGACCGACAUUGACGCUGAGGCGCGAAAGCGUGGGGAGCAAACAGG